AGCAGCCGCGGUAAUUCCAGCUCCAAUAGCGUAUAUUAAAGUUGUUGCAGUUAAAAAGCUCGUAGUUGAACCUCGGGGUCUACCCAUUGGUCAGGCUUAAUUGUCUGCACUGGUGAGAUGGAUCUCUACCUUCUGAGGAACUUUCAUGCCAUUUAUUUGGUGUGAUGGGAAAUCAGGACUGUUACUUUGAAAAAAUUGGAGUGUUUAAAGCAGACUAUCGUCUGAAUACAUUAGCAUGGAAUAAUGAAAUAGGACGGACUGAUUCUAUUUCGUUGGUUUCUAGGAUCACCGUAAUGAUUAAUAGGGAUAGUUGGGGGCAUUA
rnacentral:rRNA from 1 species